CGCAAGCUUGUGGAUGGCGAUGGU
rnacentral:siRNA from 1 species